rnacentral:misc_RNA from 1 species
GAAAUGCGAUAAGUAAUGUGAAUUGCAGAAUUCCGUGAAUCAUCGAAUCUUUGAACGCACCUUGCGCUCCUUGGUAUUCCGAGGAGCAUGCCUGUUUGAGUGUCAUGGAAUUCUCAACUCUAUUUGCUUUUGUGAAUAGAGCUUGGAUUUGGAGGUUUAUUGCUGGUACUUGUGAUCGGCUCCUCUUGAAUGCAUUAGCUCGAACCUUUGCGGAUCAGCUAUCGGUGUGAUAAUUGUCUACGCCGUUGCAGUGAAGCAUAUCAAUGGGCUCGGCUUCCAAUCGUCCUUUACUGGACAAUGACUUUGACCUUUGACCUCAAAUCAGGUAGGAUUACCCGCUGAACUUAAGC